GGGAAAGCCGCCACGGCCAGAAGCGGCGGCAAGGCCUCCUCUUUCCCUCCCUCCUUCCUUCCUGCCCCUCCCUCCGCGGCCGGAGGGUCCCGCGGCCUCGAGGCGUUUCCGAGGUGGUUUGAUUGAAGACUCCUGCCUCCUUUGUGCAAAGAUUUGACACAGAACUUUUUCAGUCAAGGGUACGAUCAGCUGAGAAAGCAAUGAAUGAGCCAAGAGCUGCAGGGACAGAUCGGGAGCCAAAAGGAACAGAAAAAAACCCCAGUGCAAUUCAUCGCCAGCAUAAGAAGGAACGUCUGGGAUGGGGAGCAUCACAACAUUGCCAAAGGGAGACCUGUCACGGGAUGCAGGAGCGCUGGGAAGCCCAGCUCCAGCAGUUCCUGAAAUCUCUGCAGCCCAUUUUAACAGGACGG